CUUAGCACAUGCUCUUGCUAGGCCAUCAAAGGUGACAUAUUUAUCCCCAGAGAUGUUGAACACUUCCUUGCUUGCUUUCGGAUUGCCAAGCACCUUAAUGAAGGCCGUCGCGAGGUCCUGAAAGUUUGGAUGGAAGAAGAUGAAUGAAUGAAUAAAGUUCAUCCAGCAGCAAGAUUAUAGUGAAGUUGAUGAUUUUGAGACCUUGACAUGGCCAAGCUGUGUGAUCUGUAUGCCUGAGUUGGGGACGGGGAUGGGACGGCCUGCUUUCAAGCGGUGGAAGAACCACUCCUCAACGGGGUUGUAGUUCAACGGCCCGUAGAUGUAGACUGGCCUUAUAGAAGUCCAGU
rnacentral:lncRNA from 1 species